AACCUCCCAGGACCGCGUCUGGAGAAUGGCUUGUCUUCUGCCAGCUUCGGAGACAGGAGAGAAAACAAGCCUGGCAGAGGUGCCCAUUCUGUUCCCAGCUUGCUCUGUAGCUGUGAUUGGAGGACUCUCUGCAACAGUG